GGAGAGGCCCCUAGGGAGACAACUUCGCGGGAAAAUCUGUCAUAGGGCAUUGGUCGGUUUCCAUAGCAACAGCGGAAAGAAAUUAAUGACCAAGUCAUUGAAUUGGGAGUAAUCUAACUUUUGGACUCACUAGAAGUCUAGAAGGACUGCAUCUCACAAACUGUCGCUCAUAAGAUGACAUACAGUAGUCUUUUAAGCAGCAGUUGGCUCAGGAUGCUAACUGCUGUCACCCCCCCUCCAUCUUUUUCCAACUGACGCUGAGGCAGACGGAGAAGUAUCGUCCACCCUGUUGCUGUGCUGCCGGGGGGUCCACACAGCCCCCCUCCAUGUGCUUCAUAUAACUUCCUCCCUAGCAAACGUUAAUGAUUAUACUCGUGGGGACGGUUUUUUGUGACUUGUCCGAUAACUGCGGUUUGAACAACAUUGAGCAGAUAACAGCCGGAGCUGAGCCCGCUACAGAGUCAGUCCGACCACCACCACCACCCGGGGAGGAGCAGAGAACCACAGACGCGAAGCGCGCCAAUGCAUGGAAACGUGGAGGCGGGGUUUUGCCAGAGGAAGCACAUUUUGGCGUCCGGUUCGGCCCACGUGUUUUUUUGGGUCUGUUUUUGUUUUUAAAACUCUGGCUCCCUCAUGUGGAGCGGGGGAAAAUUACACCACUCAGAAUGAGUUGGGGAUAUAUUCGUGGUUCUCUUGAUUGUUUAUUCUGUGUCAUAUCUCAAUUUAUAUUUCGUAUUUUGCGAAUUUAACAUGAUCAUCAUUUUUUUGACUUGUAUUGCAUAUCCAUGUACAUGCACAUAUGCACCCAUAUCCCAAUAACCUUAAUUAACUAAUUUUGAGUAGUGUACUCACUCAAAGCCUCUUCUAUAAGACAGCAAAAUAAUAUUUAGUGGCCUUUCACGCACAAAAUGGCCUGUAAACCUUAACUUUCAUUUCCAUGCACAUGCACCCACAUCCCAAAAUCCCUAGCUAAUUUUGAGUGGUGUGUAUUUUCAACUCCUGUCUGCAAUAUGACUAUUGUUACCACUAUUUAUAACCUAUAAUUAGCACACCUGUGUUUACUGGGAGUUUGCCAGAAUACAUGCCAAAGAAGGGGGUCUUGCCCGAAAUGUCUGUGUGGCAAGAAUAAACAGUUUGAUCAGA